UAGUAGUCUGAUGGAUCGAAAGAUGAAGGGCGAGAAGCUGGAUGGAAAUCUGGUAAAAGGAAUCGGCAUGUUGCGUAAGGAUAAUUAACCACAGAGGGCGAGAAGUUCGUCCUUAUCCUCAAAAGGCUAAAAGAGGAGAUAGUGCUUCUGAUAAUUCAGAAGGGCGUCGUGAAACACAUUUUGUGGCUCGUCUGUAACUCCCGGAGGUGAGAACACCUCUUUGUACACGGGGCGAUAUAGGAGUCUAGAAGACUGGCGUGUACCUACA
rfam:Clostridium bolteae CAG:59 genomic scaffold, scf149